rnacentral:rRNA from 1 species
AAUGCGUAUGAUAUGCGGAGGAACACGAAGGCGAAGGCAAUCCCCUGGACCUGUACUGACGCUCAAGCACGAAAGCGUGGGAAGCAAACCAGGAAUUAGAUACCCGGUAGUCCACGCCCUAAAACGAUGUCAACUGGUUGUUGGUCUUCACUGACUCAGUAACGAAAGCUAACGCGUGAAAGUUGACCGCCUGGGGAGUACGGCCGCAAGGGUGAAACUCAAAAGGAAAUAGACGGGGACCCGCACAAGCGGGUGGAUGAUGUGGUUUAAUUCGAUGCAACGCGAUAAACCUUACCCACCUUUGACAUGUACGGAACUCGCCAGAGAUGGCUUGGUGCUCGAAAGAGAGCCGUAACACAGGUGCUGCAUGGCUGUCGUCAGCUCGUGUCGUGAGAUGUUGGGUUAAGUCCCGCAACGAGCGCAACCCUUGUCAUUAGUUGCUACAUUAAGUUGGGCACUCUAAUGAGACUGCCGGUGACAAGCCGGAGGAAGGUGGGGAUGACGUCAAGUCCUCAUGGCCCUUAUAGGUGGGGCUACACACGUCAUACAAUGGCUGGUACAAAGGGUUGCCAACCCGCGAGGGGGAGCUAAUCCCACAAAGCCAGUCGUAGUCCGGAUCGUAGUCUGCAACUCGACCACGUGAAGUCGGAAUCGCUAGUAAUCGUGGAUCAGAAUGUCACGGUGAAUACGUUCCCGGGUCUUGUACACACCGCCCGUCACACCAUGGGAGCGGGUUCUGCCAGAAGUAGUUAGCCUAACCGCAAGGAGGGCGAUUACCACGGCAGGGUUCGUGACUGGGGUG